rnacentral:snoRNA from 1 species
CUGCAGCCAAUUAAGCCACCAGCUCCCUCUCCCCAUGGGGGCCUGGUGUGCAGUGGCUGCGGAAAGCAGCCUCCUUGGUGGUGCCCAUGGCCUGUUGCUUGUACAGGUCGCCCUAAGGGACCUUGGAGACAGCC